CCUACGGGUGGCAGCAGUGAGGAAUAUUGGUCAAUGGCCGAGAGGCUGAACCAGCCAAGUCGCGUGAGGGAAGACGGCCCUACGGGUUGUAAACCUCUUUUGUCGGGGAGCAAAGCGAACCACGUGUGGUUCAUUGAGAGUACCCGAAGAAAAAGCAUCGGCUAACUCCGUGCCAGCAGCCGCGGUAAUACGGAGGAUGCGAGCGUUAUCCGGAUUUAGUGGGUUUAAAGGGGGCGCAGGCGGAAUGUCAAGUCAGCGGUAAAAUUUCGGGGCUCAACCCCGUCGUGCCGUUGAAACUGGCGUUCUUGAGUGAGCGAGAAGUAUGCGGAAUGCGUGGUGUAGCGGUGAAAUGCAUAGAUAUCACGCAGAACUCCGAUUGCGAAGGCAGUUCACUGGACUGCAACUGACACUGAGGCUCGAAAGUGUGGGUAUCAAACAGGAUUAGAUACCCCAGUAGUC
rnacentral:rRNA from 1 species